GACGAACGCUGGCGGCGUGCUUAACACAUGCAAGUCGAACGGAAAGGCCCUGCUUUUGUGGGGUGCUCGAGUGGCGAACGGGUGAGUAACACGUGAGUAAACUGCCCUUGACUUUGGGAUAACUUCAGGAAACUGGGGCUCAUACCGGAUAGGAGCUCCUGCUGCAUGGUGGGGGUUGGAAAGUUUCGGCGGUUGGGGAUGGACUCGCGGCUUAUCAGCUUGUUGGUGUGGUAGUGGCUUACCAAGGCUUUGACGGGUAGCCGGCCUGAGAGGUUGACCGGACACAUGGGGACUGAGGUACGGAGCAGACUCCUACGGGAGGCAGCAGUGGAGAAUAUUGCAGAAUGGGCGGAAGUCAGAUGCAGCAACGCCGGGUGCGGGAUGAUGGCCUUCGGGUUGUAAACCGAUGUGGCCGGUGAUGAAGAGUGAGUGACGGUAAUGGGUAAAGAAGCACCGGCUAACUACGUG
rnacentral:rRNA from 1 species